rnacentral:rRNA from 1 species
UACGGAGGGUGCGAGCGUUGUCCGGAAUCACUGGGCGUAAAGGGCGCGUAGGCGGCGCGGGUAGUCAUCGGUGAAAGUUCAGGGCUCAACUCUGAAUCGGCCGGUGAUACUCCCGUGCUCGAGCACUGUAGAGGCAGGUGGAAUUCCGGGUGUAGCGGUGGAAUGCGUAGAGAUCCGGAAGAACACCGGUGGCGAAGGCGGCCUGCUGGGCAGUAGCUGACACUGAUGCGCGACAGCGUGGGGAGCAAACAGG